rnacentral:rRNA from 1 species
UACGUAGGGCGCAAGCGUUGUCCGGAAUUAUUGGGCGUAAAGAGCUCGUAGGCGGUCUGUCGCGUCUGCCGUGAAAACCCGAGGCUUAACCUCGGGCUGGCGGUGGAUACGGGCAGACUAGAGGUAGGUAGGGGAGAAUGGAAUUCCCGGUGUAGCGGUGAAAUGCGCAGAUAUCGGGAGGAACACCGGUGGCGAAGGCGGUUCUCUGGGCCUUACCUGACGCUGAUGCACGAAAGCGUGGGGAGCAAACAGG